rnacentral:rRNA from 1 species
GAUGAACGCUAGCGGCAGGCUUAAUACAUGCAAGUCGAGGGGCAGCGCAGUGUAGCAAUACAUGGGCGGCGACCGGCAAACGGGUGCGGAACACGUACGCAACUUACCCAAAACUGGGGAAUAGCCCGGGGAAACCCGGAUUAAUACCUCGUAACAUAAUUGAAUGGCAUCAUUUAAUUAUUAUAGCUCCGGCGGUUUUGGACGGGCGUGCGCCUGAUUAGGUAGUUGGCGGGGUAACGGCCCACCAAGCCUACGAUCAGUAACUGGUGUGAGAGCACGACCAGUCACACGGGCACUGAGACACGGGCCCGACUCCUACGGGAGGCAGCAGUAAGGAAUAUUGGUCAAUGGACGCAAGUCUGAACCAGCCAUGCCGCGUGAAGGAUGAAGGUCCUCUGGAUUGUAAACUUCUUUUAUAUGGGAAGAAAUCCAUCUUUUCUUGGGUGGUUGACGGUACCAUAGGAAUAAGCACCGGCUAACUCCGUGCCAGCAGCCGCCGCAGUAA